GGGAGAAGGCGGGAGUAAGCUGUAAGAGGGUUCUUGAGAAGGAACGCAGCGGACCGGUUGAUGCUGUUGUUCUAGCUAAGGACACAAUUUGAUAUUUAUUUAUCUUUCACCCCGUGAUCUAUUCGGUGUAACGAUGGGCUCUUUCGCGCUGCCGAUGAUCUGUUUCACCACGUUAUGGGCGCUCGUUGGUAUUGUAGCACCCUUUUUCGUGCCCAAAGGACCAAACCGAGGGGUUGUCAUCACUAGUUUGAUCUUGACAGCUGUUUGUUGCUGGUUAUUCUGGCUGAUAGCGAUCCUAGCCCAGGCCAACCCUCUGUUUGGACCUCAGCUGAAGAACGAGACUAUCUGGGUACCUCCGCUUACUUCUGGGAGUAACACCCAGGGUUGA